rnacentral:rRNA from 1 species
CCUACGGGUGGCAGCAGUGAGGAAUAUUGGUCAAUGGGCGGAAGCCUGAACCAGCCAAGUAGCGUGCAGGAUGACGGCCCUACGGAUUGUACACUGCUUUUAUACGGGAAUAACGCGCCUUACGUGUAGGGCUUUGCAUGUACCGUAUGAAUAAGGACCGGCUAAUUCCGUUCCAGCAGCCGCGGUAAUACUGAAUGUCCGGGCGUUAUGCGGAUUUAUUGGGUUUAAAGGGAGCGUAGGCCGCAUGUCAAGCGUACUGUGAAAUGUCCGGGCUCAACCCGGGCCUUGCAGCGCGCACUGGCGUGGUUGAGUCUGCUGAAAGCAGGCGGAAUUCGUCGUGUAGCGGUGCAAUGCUUAGAUAUGACGAAGAACCCAGAUUGCGAAGGCAGCUUGCUGCAGCGGAACUGACGCUGAUGCUCGAAAGCGCGGGUAUCGAACAGGAUUAGAUACCCCUGUAGUC